rnacentral:lncRNA from 1 species
GUUGGAUAAUACAUUUAAGUUUGAUAUUUUCACCGCAAACUGGAUGCAUAUUGUUUUAACAUUAAAGUUCUUUAUUGUCAAUACAGUUCUUUCGUGGUUUUACUGACAAAUACACAUCAGUAUGAAUAAGAAUGCAAUGAUAGUUGUUAGUUCGUCAUGUUGAUGGGAUAUCGAUACAAUGUCUUGGUCUUCUCAUCCUAUCGGACCAUAUUUUUUAAUAAGUGGUACCAUUGGUUUGUAACUUUACUGGCGAUCAACUACGUCGAUCGAAUAUCAUUACUCGGUAUUGUUUGGUGUCAUUGAUAAAAUCUUUGUGUCAAUAAUG